AGCGAACGCUGGCGGCAGGCCUAACACAUGCAAGUCGAACGGAUCCUUCGGGAUUAGUGGCGGACGGGUGAGUAACACGUGGGAACGUGCCUUUUGGUUCGGAACAACUCAGGGAAACUUGAGCUAAUACUGAAUGUGCCCUUCGGGGAAAGAUUUAUCGCCAUUAGAGCGGCCCGCGUCUGAUUAGCUAGUUGGUGGGGUAAAGGCUCACCAAGGCUACGAUCAGUAGCUGGUCUGAGAGGAUGAUCAGCCACAUUGGGACUGAGACACGGCCCAAACUCCUACGGGAGGCAGCAGUGGGGAAUCUUGCGCAAUGGGCGAAAGCCUGACGCAGCCAUGCCGCGUGAAUGAUGAAGGUCUUAGGAUUGUAAAAUUCUUUCACCGGGGACGAUAAUGACGGUACCCGGAGAAGAAGCCCCGGCUAACUUCGUGCCAGCAGCCGCGGUAAU
rnacentral:rRNA from 1 species